rnacentral:lncRNA from 1 species
AGGUGGUUCUGAUGGCUUUGUAAAUAUUUGGGAUCCAUUUAACAAAAAGCGACUGUGCCAAUUCCAUCGGUACCCCACGAGCAUCGCAUCACUUGCCUUCAGUAAUGAUGGGACUACGCUUGCAAUAGCAUCAUCAUAUAUGUAUGAAAUGGAUGACACAGAACAUCCUGAAGAUGGUAUCUUCAUUCGCCAAGUGACAGAUGCAGAAACAAAACCCAAGUCACCAUGUACUUGACAAGAUUUCAUUUACUUAAGUGCCAUGUUGAUGAUAAUAAAACAAUUCGUACUCC